UUGGUGGACCCCGACAGGUCCCCGGACGAGGGUUCAGUACCCGGUGAGCGACAAGACUGGCCGAA
rnacentral:ncRNA from 1 species